AGAACGAACGCUGGCGGCAUGCCUAACACAUGCAAGUCGAACGAGACCUUCGGGUCUAGUGGCGCACGGGUGCGUAACGCGUGGGAAUUUGCCCUUAGGUACGGGAUAACACAGGGAAACUUGUGCUAAUACCGUAUGAUGACGAAAGUCCAAAGAUUUAUCGCCUAAGGAUGAGCCCGCGUAGGAUUAGCUUGUUGGUGAGGUAAAGGCUCACCAAGGCGACGAUCCUUAGCUGGUCUGAGAGGAUGAUCAGCCACACUGGGACUGAGACACGGCCAGACUCCGUACGGGAGCAGCAGUAGGGGAAUAUGGACAAUGGGACGAAAGCCUGAUCCAGCAAUGCCGCGUGAGUGAGUGAAGGCCCUAGGGUUAGUAAAGCUUACGUUUUAACCGGGAAGUAGUAAUAGACUGGUAACCGGAG
rnacentral:rRNA from 1 species